GAUGAACGCUGGCGGCGUGCUUAACGCAUGCAAGUCGAACGAGAAGUGGAGACGGACACCUUCGGGCGGAAGACUUUAUUUCGAGUGGCGGACGGGUGAGUAACGCGUGGGUAACCUGCCUCAUACAGGGGGAUAACAGUUGGAAACGACUGUUAAUACCGCAUAAGACCACAGCACCGCAUGGUGCGGGGGUAAAAACUCCGGUGGUAUGAGAUGGACCCGCGUUCGAUUAGCCAGUUGGCGGGGUAACGGCCCACCAAAGCGACGAUCGAUAGCCGAUCUGAGAGGAUGACCGGCCACAUUGGGACUGAGACACGGCCCAAACUCCUACGGGAGGCAGCAGUGGGGAAUAUUGCACAAUGGGGGAAACCCUGAUGCAGCGACGCCGCGUGAGUGAAGAAGUAUUUCGGUAGGUAAAGCUCUAUCAGCAGGGAAGAAAAGGACGGUACCUGAGUAAGAAGCCCCGGCUAACUACGU
rnacentral:rRNA from 1 species